rnacentral:rRNA from 1 species
UUUUUGGAGAGUUUGAUCCUGGCUCAGGACGAACGCUGGCGGCGUGCCUAAUACAUGCAAGUCGAGCGAAUCUGAUGGGAGCUUGCUCCCUGAUGAUUAGCGGCGGACGGGUGAGUAACACGUGGGUAACCUGCCUGUAAGACUGGGAUAACUCCGGGAAACCGGGGCUAAUACCGGAUAACUUUUUUCUUCGCAUGAGGGAGAAUUGAAAGAUGGCCUCGGCUAUCACUUACAGAUGGACCCGCGGCGCAUUAGCUAGUUGGUGAGGUAACGGCU